CAGCCGCCGCGGGAAUACAGAGGAUGCAAGCGUUAUCCGGAAUGAUUGGGCGUAAAGGGCUCGCAAGCGGUUUCUUAAGUCUGAUGUGAAAGCCCCCGGCUCAACCGGGGAGGGUCAUUGGAAACUGGGAAACUUGAGUGCAGAAGAGGAGAGUGGAAUUCCACGUGUAGCGGUGAAAUGCGUAGAGAUGUGGAGGAACACCAGUGGCGAAGGCGACUCUCUGGUCUGUAACUGACGCUGAGGAGCGAAAGCGUGGGGAGCGAACAGGAUUAGAUACCCCAGUAGUCCCUGUCUCUUAUAC
rnacentral:rRNA from 1 species